CAGCUAAUCCCUGAACUUGAUGAUACAAAGCGACUUAGAGUGAUGUUGUCGUUUUGGAGGCCGUGGCAUGGAAGGAACGAAUUGGUACACUCUAAGCCGGCUCCCCUCAACGAGGUAUCUAUCAGGUUUGUUUGCAGGUUGCAGCUACAUUUUUUUUGGAACGUAGACGCUGGAGGCGUCCGGCUUUAAAUUAAUAAAGCCCAUAGGCUAGAAGUACAUAGAGCACCAACUAAACGAAAAGCGGGAAACAAAGAUCAAAGAUCAAGUUCUGACGAGCCCCGCACGGCUCAAUGCGCAACAAAAGGUUCGACUCAUCACGAAUUACAUAAUACCAUGAGGAUCAGAACGCUUCAACCAAACUAUCAUGCCCCCAAAAGACCCUCGGAAAUCCUCGUCAGCUUGCUGGCUCCUGUCUUGCCUUCGCCUGGAUCUCCUUGAUGCUCGCCAUAGCUGCUGACAUGCGCUCAGCAUCGCGCUCCUUCCCCAGGGGUGUCCACGUCUGCAAAAACAAGUGACAUUUGAAGAUGACAUCCACGGGGUGGUGAGGGAAUUUUUUCUCAAUCGUAAACUUGUUUCGUGCCGUCCAGAUAGACCAAAGCAGCGCCCCUACGCAACGCCAAGCUAUCCUACGUGAGGUCCCAUGAGUGGUCUUAAGAAGGGAGGCAAGUUGGUGUCCCAAUGCUGGGUUCCAGUCCACGUGGAAGGCCUCCCGCACCGCACUCCAGGCAAACCUGGCCAAAUGACACCUAAAGAGCACGUGGUUGGCAUCCUCAUCCAGACCACACAGCGCGCAUGUACCGUCUGCCGGGCCAUUGCGCUUGGCCACGUUGUCCGACGUAGGCAGCCGGUUCCGGAGCAUUUGCCACAUGAAGAUUUUCAUCUUCAGAGGCAGGCUUGCCUUCCAAAGCUCCUUAGCUAUAUCCAGAACAGGCCCUUCAGUGAGCUUGUAGUACAGGGACUUGCACGAAAAUUUCUUCGAAGCUGUCAGGCUCCAUUCUACCGUGUCUCUCGUUGUGCCUAGUCGGUUGACCCCAAUCAACUGGUUUAGCUCGUUCCAGGAUACGCGCUCCGCGAUCAAAAGGGGCCGCAUGAAGUGAAUCGCCGGAGGGACGGUCCGGAGAGCCUCCCCUACUAGGAUGUUAGUGUCAGUGGCUAACCUAUACAAGGUGGGAUGACUUUGCCACAAAGGAGAAUCACCGAGCCAGUGGUCAAGCCAGAACCUGGUAGAUUGACCUUGCUAACCAAAAAUUUGGCCCCUAAGUCAAAGGUCGGGCGCACCGCUUGGAGCCCUCUCCAGAACGAGGAACCGUUGGCCGAGGCAGAAAAAGGGUUCCCGUUUGGGAAGUACUUAGCUUUUAACAGGCUUGCCCAAAGCCCCGACUCAUCUUGGGCCAGCCUCCACCACCAUUUGGCAAGGAGAGCCACAUUCAUCAGUUUGGAGUUAAGAAUUCCCAAUCCGCCCAAUUCUUUAGGCCUGCAGACUGCUGCCCACUUAACUAGGUGAUACUUCUUCUUAACUCCGGCUCCUUCCCAAAAGAACCGAGCUCUAGGUGUGUCUAGUUUGGCGUGCACACCGUUAGCUAGUAAGAACAUCCCCAUCGUGAAGAGAGGGAGGGAGGAGAGACUCGAGUUCGUCAGGAUGAGCCUAGCGGCAGACGACAGGAAUCUCCCAUGCCACGGACUUACUCUGUUGGCCACUUUCCCGUAAAGAGGCUCCCACUCUACUAUAGAGAGUUUGCAAUGCGAUAUAGGGAGCCCAAGGUACUUAAUUGGAAAGCUCCCCAGCUUACAAUUAAGCAGGUUGGCGACACGAGUGCUUUGCAGGCCGUCAAGCCCCAUGGUGAAGACCUCGCUUUUAUGAAAGUUGAUCUUGAGUCCGGAGAGGAGCUCAAAAGCUAGUAGCAGUAACUUAAUCGAGGCAAUGCUAUGGUCAUCCGGAUUGAAGAGCAACAGAGUGUCGUCAGCGUAUUGGAGGUGCGUCACCCCACCUGGGAUGAGGUGUGGCACCAGCCCUGUAAUGUGUCCAGCCUCCCUGGCUUUGGACAACAUAGCUGCCAAGGCGUCCGCCACAAAAUUAAAAACUAGGGGGGAAAUGGGGUCGCCUUGUCGCAGUCCUUUCCGGUUGCGGAAGAAUUUGCCCAUGUCACCAUUGACUAUGACCGAAGUGUUGCCACUCGAGAUCAGGUGCAUGAUCCGGUGAACAAACCCUGCCUCAAAACCCUUUUGAGGAGGACCUCCCGAAUAAACUCCCAGUUUACUCGGUCAUACGCUUUCUCAAAAUCGAGUUUGAGAAUGACACCCUGUCCAUGCGUACGCUUCACCUCAUGAAUGACCUCUGUGAGUGCUAUAGGCCCCUCCAGAAUGUUCCUGUUUUUCAGGAAAGCGGUCUGGCUUUUGCUAAUAACACGUUGAGCGACCGGUGCUAACCUGGAUGCGUAGGCUUUCGCGCAUAUCUUGAAAGGGACGUUAAUGAGUGUGAUCGGCCGGAACUGCUUAAUAGUAUCAGCCCCUUUAACCUUGGGGAUCAAGCAGAUAGCACCGUAGUUGAGCCUUGCCAGGUCCACCGUACCUAGGGAAAACCCAUUGAGGAUCGCAAGGAACAAGUCCUUGAGCGACGGCCAAAACCGUUUGAAGAACUCCACCGGCCAACCAUCCGGCCCAGGGGCCGUGUCGUUCUUCAUCCCUGCUAACGCGCGGUCGAGUUCUUGGGGUGAAAAGGACACCAUCAAGGCGUCGUUUUCCUGUUGCGAGACCCGCUCGUGCCAACCCCACAAGUCCUCCCUGAGGCUUAAAUUCUUUGUUUCAGCCGUACCCAGCAGCUCCACAAAGAAGGCAAAAAUGUGUGCAACUAUCUCGUUUUGGGUGACCAGAGUACCGCCCUCGGACUGCAGCCUAAGAAUCGUGCUUUUGCGUUUCCGCCCGUUAGCGUACGCGUGGAAGUAUCCCGUGUUGGUGUCGCCUUUGACGACCCACUUAACGCCGCCCCUACGGCGCCAAUAUUCCUCCUCCUCUCUGAGAAUAGCCAAGACUUGAUUCUCCAAGUGGUAUCUAAGCUCCCACUCGUCCCCUGAGAAGGGUCUAACAUCCGCCUGGGCGUCAAGGAGGGCAAUUUCGCCAACUAUGCGCUCCCUGGCCCGUUUAGACUCACUGCCAUGAUUGGCUCCCCAUCCCCUGAGGAAAGCCCGCAAGGCAGCGGCCGUCGAGGACCAAAACUCGACUGGUCCUCGCUGACGACCGACCUGAUUACCUAUCAGGGACCAACGGUUCAAGACAAGUUGGCCGAAACCUUCGUGCUCGAACCACGCUGUCUCGAAAAAGAACCUACGGCUUCGGCGUUUACUCUCCUCCCCUGAGGAGAGAACCAGCGGGACGUGGUCUGAUCUAAUGCGUGUCUCAGCCACGAGGGUACACAGGGGGAAAAGAGCCUCCCAGUCGCAAGAACAGAAGACACGAUCAAGGACACAGCGCACUGGAUCCCGCUGCUUGUUCGUCCACGUGUAUCUAGCCCCAGUACGCGCAAUUUCUCUAAGGGCCGCUGCCGCGAUGGCAUUAUUGAACAGGGACACCCUAGCCCAAUCAAUGUUGUCAUUGUUCUUGUUCGCCCCCGAGCGGAUCAAGUUAAAAUCACCACCCACCAAAACUGGUAAGUUAGAUGCUUGUUUGGCCCCCACCAGCGCUGUGAGUUCUCCCAAGAACUCAGCAGAACGCACAUGAUUAGCCGGCCCAUAUACACUAACGAUGACCCACGAUGCCAGAGAAACCCGGUGUCUCACAGUGGCAGCGAUAUAAAACACACCAGAUUCCCACGAAACGACAUCGAAAGCAUCCUUAUUACAACCCAUCAGUUGGCCGCCAGAGAGGCCCACCGAAGGAGACCAGAACCAAUCAAAACGCAGCAGAGGGUCGUACGCAACUAGGUCUCUAUACGAAAAAUCAACCUUAAUCGUCUCUUGGAGCGCAACGCAGUCGAUGCGUUCUUUAGACAUGUACUCACGCAGCUGCGUACGCCGACCCGAAUGCCCACACCCACGAAUGUUCCAGAAAAGGUACCUCAUCAGAUUAUUCGAUUGCGCAGGCGAACUCCACGUGAGCUCACCGCCUUGGCCACUCGUUUCCGAGCCGGAGCUCGGCUGGAAGAGGGCAGGUCCGAGGCCAUCCAGGCCUCGUCUCCCUCGGUGGGCACCGUGACAACACCAGCCCCUACUGGUGCCGCAGACCCGCCAUCCACGGGCUGGAUCUGUGCUUCCCUGGCAGCCGCAGCCGCGAGGGCAGCCUGAGCUUCUUCAUGCGCUCUCACAAGCGAAAUAAUGUCUAACUGCGUAUCAUCUACCGCAACUCCGCUAUCAUGGAGGAUCUCAGCAAGAUGAUCAUCGGAAAAAGCAUUCAGGAUCUUGAAAGAGGGUGACGGGUUACCUGCAACAUCCAUGUUUUUAUCUGCCGCACGGAGCUUGGCGCUUUCCAGAGACGUCAUGUCCCCUAGCUUGGCCUUGGCACGCACGCUAGGAGCCCGAGACGCCACCGGAGUUGCCCUUGUACGCCGGCCCCGACGCCGCCAGCUCCGCCCCCAAUUCACCACCCAACGCUGACCCUGAUCCCGCUGCAGCCGCCUCCACAUGCUUGCUCACAGUCUUCCUCCCAGAUGUCUUCUUGUUCUGGCGCCCGGAGCCGCUUGACAGACGCCGCUCGGAGGCCGGAGUGGGUUCCGCAUCCAAGGGGACACACUCCAACCCCGUACCCCCAACAGGCUGCGGGGAGGCAGGCGCGGCCGCGGUCUCCAUGGCCACCAGAGGCAGGUUCACUUGCUCACCCAGCACCUCAAAGGACGAGUCCAGGGAGUGAGCGAGGGGGUGAAGGCUCACCUCCGUAUCUUGAGUCACGAGCACGCCCAGCUUCUCCCAUGUCUCCGUAUCAAUGGACGUGUCUUGCAUACUGUCUUCGUGUUCAUCUGCCACCUUGCACAUCACCGUGUCUUGGCCGUCGGCUUUCGCUUCAGAGCCAGCCACACCCUUCAAUGGCACCACCACCGCAGCCUUGGGCAGACCCGCACCAUUGGCAGCAGCCUUGGAGGGAUUGUCCGCAGUGGGGCCAGCCUUGUGAUGCCCGCUGUUGCCGUUGUGGUUGUCAGGCGGCGGAGUGGAGGGACCCGCCCCCGGAGCCCCUCCGCCAGGCCCCAACCUGCGCGAGGGCUGCUCCAGCUCGACUCUGAUCUGAUAACCUUCGUGGUUGAACCACACCUCCACCGUGUCGUUCAGCUUGGCCGGAGACUUGCAGGCCAAUUUCAUCCUCACCGGGCCCACUUUGAUGAUGGAGAGCUCAUCCACCACGAUUGGCCGGCCCAGCAUCUUGAACGCCUCCUUGAUACGCUCGGUCUUGCGAUGUUUCUCCGGGAUCCCGUGAAGCCGCACCCAAGCUUCUGGCAUAACCAACGGGGGAACCACCUCAUGGGCCACAUCACGCACCCUAGCGGUGAUGUCAUUGAUGGAGAGGAACAGCUUCCCACUAGUCCGAGCCAUGUGGAGAAGAUCAGCGGAGGGGAACUCCACCAUGAAGUCGUCGCCACCAACUUGGGUGACUUGCCAGUCCCAAUCCCCGGUGACCAUGUGCUUGAGCUCCUGCUUGAGGAUCCGCAGGUUCAGACGGCCCGGCUCUGCAGACAGGAUCGCAGCGUUGCCUACCGAGAGCCUCGGGGGGCACUCAUCCUCCGCCUCCUCUUCGAACUGCAGGCAGAAAAACCCUUCGCCAGAAAUGGCACUCCCCAUGAUCUGCAGACUAGGCUGCCGGCCCCGCGUCGGACAGUACGCAGAAGCGUGCCCUUCUUCCUUGCAAAGCACGCACAGUGGCUGAAACUUGCACUUGGACUGGUAGUGCCCAAGCCUCCCGCACUUGAAGCACUCCACCUCCGGCGCCUCCGACGCGUCCUCCACCGGGAUGGGCUCACCCGCCGUACCCUUCGCUCCUGGGGGGAGAGCCAUCGCCAGAGGUUCGGUCGCCGCCCUUGGCUUCUUGGUCAAGGGAUCCCCAUGGCCACCACCAUAGUUGGGGAGAUCCAUGGACUUGCGCUCGAGCUCCCUGCGCCGCGCCAUCUCCUUCUUCUUCUUCCUGCGCUCUUGUGGCUGGAUCCACCACGGGGGAGGAGGACCCCAAUCCCCCUCUCGCCCCUCUUGCUCUGUGCUCCGCUCACCUCGUCCGCUUGACCGCGCACGCAUCUCCUUCUUCGCCCUGUCCCGCAGAUCUCGCUCGCGCCGCCGUUCCCCAUCCGAGAUCGGGGGCUCCAUGGGCCUCUUCUCCACACGCCGCCCGCUCAUCACUGCCGCCGCAAACGAAAUGGAGAGGGGCAGGGGGGAACAGCGUGGAUAAUGCGAGCAAGGUGAGCCCAGCGCCGCACCUCAGAUUUGGCUGCAGGAAACCCUAAUGAGGGGUCACGGCACCCGCGCCGGAGCCAUAUAUAAGCGCCAUUCCUGGGCCGAGGCCGAGGCAGGCCCAGGGCGGGCCGGGCAUGCCCCACAGGCCCAGAUGAAGCCUGCCCCCCACUCCCGACGGGAGCACAGGCCCCCCCCCCUCCCCCGCGGUUGGGCCGACACCAGUCCCCUUCAGCCUAGGCGGGUGGGCCGAACCGCUAGCCGCCCGGCCCACCUCUCCCCCGGGCCCAGGAUUGGCAACCCUAGCCAGCCGAGAGGUCGAUCCGUCCGCCACCGCCAGCGGGGCAGCCGCCGCCGCCUGCCCCUAUCGGCCGACGCCGGCGCCGGCAGGCCCGGCCACUCCUCCACCGACUCCAACGGAGCCAAGAGAGCCAUCGCCGCCUUCGCCCGAAUGCCCUGCGCGGCGCCCCCAGGGGACGCCGAGCCCCUGUCCGUGGACAGGGAAGGUCUCCACGCACGAACGGCGGUCACACGCGAGCCCCUGCCGCCCGGAGCGAAACGGCGGCGCUCCCUCGCGGCGCCGCUCCGCUCCGCUUGCGCACGGGCCACGAAAUCGCCAAGCGACGGCCUCUCCGGCAGCACAUUGCGGUCCUCGUCCUCCGCACCCUCGUCUUCCUCAUCCUCCGAGUCAAGCGCAGCCAGUGACCAGAAACGCCCCCCCACAGGCGCCACCGCCGCGCCGACCCCUAGGGCCGGCCCCGUCCGCGCCGGGGAGGGCCAAGCACCGCGCCGAACCACUUCCCAGCCCUCGGUGGCCGGAGCCACGGGCACCCGCGGCGGGGAGCUCGGGCCGUCCCCAGGGAGAGGGCCUAACGGUUCACUCAUAGCCAUUUCUUCUCGCAUUCAGCCCGACCGCGUGUGUAUGUAGAGGUUAACCGUUGCAGCUACAUUGAUACACUUUUUUAGCUUGCUGUGGAUCCGAAGUACGACCCAAUUAAAGGAAACGUUCAUGCAUCACCCUCCAUCCUUUUCUCAUACAUACAUACAUACAUACAUACAAAUGAUUCCUUUCCCAUCCUCAAAGACAAGAAAAAUCUUGCAACCAGGUCCCUAGCAAUUUGCAGCCACCACCCUCAACUUCCCGUUUCAUUACAAACAAGGCCAAAAUUUCGACAGCAUAAC
rnacentral:lncRNA from 1 species